rnacentral:rRNA from 1 species
UACGUAGGGUGCGAGCGUUGUCCGGAAUUAUUGGGCGUAAAGAGCUCGUAGGCGGUGUGUCACGUCGUUCGUGAAAACCUGCAGCUUAACUGUGGGCGUGCGGUCGAUACGGGCAUCACUGGAGUUCGGCAGGGGAGACUGGAAUUCCUGGUGUAGCGGUGAAAUGCGCAGAUAUCGGGAAGAACACCCGUGGCGAAGGCGGUUCUCUGGGACGGUACUGACGCUGAGACGCGAAAGCGUGGGGAGCGAACAGG